GUUUCUGUAGUGUAGUGGUCAUCAUGUUCAUCUCACACAUGAAAGGUCCCUGGUUUGAAACCAGGCAGAAACA